CGGAAUGGCGCAGCUACCAUGCAAGUCGAACGUGAUCCGCCCUUCGGGGUGGUGAAAGUGGCGCACGGGUGAGUAACGCGUGGAUAAUCUGCCCGAGGAUUUGGGAUAACAUCUCGAAAGGGGUGCUAAUACCGAAUAAGCCCACGGGGUCUACGGAUCUUGCGGGAAAAGGGGGGGACCUUCGGGCCUCCUGUCCUUGGAUGAGUCUGCGUACCAUUAGCUAGUUGGUGGGGUAAUGGCCUACCAAGGCGACGAUGGUUAGCUGGUCUGAGAGGAUGAUCAGCCACACUGGAACUGAGACACGGUCCAGACUCCUACGGGAGGCAGCAGUGGGGAAUUUUGCGCAAUGGGGGAAACCCUGACGCAGCAACGCCGCGUGGGUGAUGAAGGCCUUCGGGUCGUAAAGCUCUGUCUGGAGGGAAGAAAUGAUUGGGAGCUAAUACCUCUUGAUCUUGACGGUACCUCUGAAGGAAGCACCGGCUAACUCCGUGCCAGCAGCCGCGGUAAUACGGAGGGUGCAAGCGUUGUUCGGAAUUAUUGGGCGUAAAGCGCGUGUAGGCGGUCUUUUAAGUCUGAUGUGAAAGCCCCGGGCUCAACCUGGGAAGUGCAUUGGAAACUGGGAGGCUUGAGUACGGGAGAGGAGAGUGGAAUUCCUAGUGUAGGAGUGAAAUCCGUAGAUAUUAGGAGGAACACCGGUGGCGAAGGCGGCUCUCUGGACCGAUACUGACGCUGAGACGCGAAAGCGUGGGUAGCAAACAGGAUUAGAUACCCUGGUAGUCCACGCCGUAAACGAUGAGUACUAGGUGUUGCGGGUAUUGAC
rnacentral:rRNA from 1 species